rnacentral:lncRNA from 1 species
AAGUACAUACCUUGUUCGAAGAACUGGCCAAAUCCAUUGCACCCAAAAACGAAGAGAAAAGGCGAAACUUUAAACAAACCUUCCACAUACAUCGGUGACCACAGAGCACGAACGAAAAUGAACAGGGCAGCCAGUGAACAAAACAAACACACAAAAUGAAAUCAAAAUGAAACCCUAAAAAUGGAGGAGGGAAAGGAGUGCUAUGAAGAGAGAAGUUGAAAUGAAAUUCAAAUCCCUAAAAUGGAGAGAGAACAAAGUGAUAAUGAGAAAAGAAAGACUUCAAAAACGAUAAGGACAUUUCCGGAAUCCAAUAUUCAACCCAUUCCAAAUCAGAUUUUAAAUUUUAAAAAAACAUUCAAAUUCGUUCAAUUAAAACUUGACACGUGGCGUUGUCAAAUU